UAGGGAAUCUUCGGCAAUGGACGAAAGUCUGACCGAGCAACGCCGCGUGAGUGAAGAAGGUUUUCGGAUCGUAAAACUCUGUUGGUAGAGAAGAACGUUGGUGAGAGUGGAAAGCUCAUCAAGUGACGGUAACUACCCAGAAAGGGCGGCUAACUACGUGUCAAG
rnacentral:rRNA from 1 species